UAAGAGAACUUUCUAGCUUAGGUCAUUUUCCCACGCCGAGUGUUCAACGCGGUCUGAAAACCCUAGGCGUGACCAUUCUGCUUCCUUCCAUGGCGUCGUUCGACGAGGCACCUCCGGGGAAUGCGAAAUCUGGUGAGAAGAUCUUCAAAACCAAGUGCGCUCAGUGCCAUACGGUGGACAAAGGAGCGGGCCAUAAACAAGGUCCCAACUUGAAUGGCCUUUUUGGAAGGCAAUCUGGCACAACAGCUGGGUAUUCUUACUCAGCUGCCAACAAGAGCAUGGCUGUUAUAUGGGAAGAGAAAACGCUCUAUGAUUACCUGCUCAAUCCUAAGAAGUACAUACCUGGAACCAAGAUGGUCUUCCCGGGGCUGAAGAAACCCCAAGACCGGGCAGAUCUAAUUGCAUAUCUCAAGGAUGCAACUGCUUGAACACUAUUUUACAACAGUCUAUUCCUAUCAAGAGACACGGUACGAUGCUUUUAUGUUUCAGUGUGAACUAAUUCGAAUAGGCCCGCGAGUGCAGGGACGCGCGCACCACCACUCCGACACGUUCAUUACAUUUCCCCAAGAUUUGAAAUCAUCUGCGCACUAAUCGAGAACCCGCAAUUAAAGCGAGCCACCGAACGAUCGGAGUUGGAACGGCGGUGGCCGACGGCGCCGCUUCUGGUGGUAAACGAAAACGACGUCGUUUGAAGGAACAAGGAAAGGAAAGGAAGAUACCUUUAUUGCUCUGCUCUGCUCUGCUCUGCUCUACUUUGAGACCAAAAGCAUCGGCCGAAAGGCAGUUUUUUCGGGGGAAUACGUCUCGUCUUCACUUCUGCGACCAUGAGUUAAUUUCUCGCCGGACCCUAAAAGCAAGUCAUUCGUCUGCAGCCUUUUGAUCGUGUUAUCUGUGGUUUGCAGUGUUUACUUCCUCGGGACCGAAUGGCUGAAAAGAGAUCCGAUGAGGUUGUCGAGGGGAUUUGGUCUCAGCACAAGGCAACAGCACGUGAAAUCUGAAAAGUAUUGCCUGUGGAAUCACAAUUAAACGCCACGAGGGGAAGUAACCAUACACGUCACCAGAAAUGCAAUGAUGAAUGCAGGCCUAUUGGGACCGAAGCUUUACCGGAAGGAAUCAUUUCCGAAAUUUCAAACUUGGAAAUGCAUCCUUUAUGGGGACCUCUUUCCGAAGAU